GAUCCUGGCUCAGGAUGAACGCUGGCGGCGUGCUUAACACAUGCAAGUCGAGCGAAGCACUUUUCCGGAUCCUUCGGGAAGAAAGAGAAUUGACUUAGCGGCGGACGGGUGAGUAACGCGUGGGCAACCUGCCCCAUACCGGGGGGAUAACAGUCAGAAAUGACUGCUAAUACCGCAUAAGCGCACAGUACCGCAUGGUACGGUGUGAAAAACUCCGGUGGUAUGGGAUGGGCCCGCGUUGGAUUAGGCAG
rnacentral:rRNA from 1 species